CUACGGGAGGCAGCAGUGAGGAAUAUUGGGCAAUGCCCGAAAGGGUGACCCAGCAACGCCGCGUGGAGGAUGAAUGUCGUAAGAUUGUAAACUCCUGUUAGAGGGGAAGAAUAAUUCCGAUUGACUCGGAACUUGACUGUACCCUCAGAGAAAGCCCCGGCUAACUACGUGCCAGCAGCCGCGGUAAUACGUAGGGGGCAAGCGUUGUCCGGGUUUACUGGGUGUAAAGGGCGCGCAGGUGGGUUUGCAAGUCAGAGGUGAAAUCUCACGGCUUGACCGUGAAAGUGCCUUUGAUACUGUAAAUCUUGAGUACGGAAGAGAGAGACGGAAUUCCAGGUGUAGUGGUGAAAUACGUAGAUAUCUGGAAGAACACCAGUUGCGAAGGCGGUCUCUUGGUCCGAUACUGACGCUCAGGCGCGAAAGCGUUGGUAGCAAACAGGAUUAGAAACCCCUGUAGUCC
rnacentral:rRNA from 1 species